rnacentral:lncRNA from 1 species
ACAACAAAAAUAAGUUCAACAAAAAAAAAAAUAACAAACAAGUUAUCAACACAUAAGUUCUUCAAAACGAAAACGAAAACUAACCUUUAAAAGAUGGGUUCAUCGGAAUAAAGUGUUGCCACCAGUGAGAGAGAAAGCAGAAUUUGUCUAUGAAGGACAAGAACACAAAAAUAAUUGGUGAAAACAAACGAAAAGCAUA